AUGGACCCUAAUCCUAUGUGAAAGAUCCAUUCAUCCAUUCAAGUUUGUGUGUAAGAAUUAAUGCUUUUUUUUUUUUUUUUUGAGUUGUCUGGAAAUAUAUCGGCUUUAGCUGCUUGGAAUCAACUGUGUUGUCAUGACAACUAGAUUGCGGUCCAUAGCACCUGGUUUCCUGUGAAGACUCCAGUGUGUGUGACUUUGACCCACUUCUGUUGAGGCAAAUAUCACGAUCAUUCCAUUGCAUUUCAUUUGGUGGAGAAUUUAACUUAAAAUGUAAGAACAACAACAACAACAACAACAACAACAACAAAAACAUGACCAAAUGGUAAGCCAGAAUUUCACAACUUAAUCUCACGUAAAUAUUGUCAACUUAUUUAUUUUUUUUGCUAGCU
rnacentral:lncRNA from 1 species